rnacentral:rRNA from 1 species
AUUGAACGCUAGCGGGAUGCCUUACACAUGCAAGUCGAACGGAGUGGCGAACGGGUGAGUAAUGCAUCGGAACGUGCCUAGUAGCGGGGGAUAACUACGCGAAAGCGUAGCUAAUACCGCAUACUAUCGGAGCGGCCGAUAUCGGAUUAGCUAGUUGGUGGGGUAAGGGCCUACCAAGGCGACGAUCCGUAGCUGGUUUGAGAGGACGAUCAGCCACACUGGGACUGAGACACGGCCCAGACUCCUACGGGAGGCAGCAGUGGGGAAUUUUGGACAAUGGGGGAAACCCUGAUCCAGCCAUCCCGCGUGUGCGAAGAAGGCCUUCGGAUUGUAAAGCACUUUUAGCAGGGAGGCGGUACCUGCAGAAUAAGCACCGGCUAACUACGUGCCAGCAGCCGCGGUAAUAC